GAUGAACGCUGGCGGUCUGCUUAACACAUGCAAGUCGAACGGGGUGCUUCGGCACCUAGUGGCGGACGGGUGAGUAACGCGUGGGGAUCUGCCCUUAGGACCGGGACAACAGCUGGAAACGGCUGCUAAUACCGGAUGUGCCGGAAGGUGAAACAUUAAUGGCCUGAGGAUGAACUCGCGUCUGAUUAGCUAGUUGGUAGUGUAAUGGACUACCAAGGCGACGAUCAGUAGCUGGUCUGAGAGGAUGACCAGCCACACUGGGACUGAGACACGGCCCAGACUCCUACGGGAGGCAGCAGUGGGGAAUUUUCCGCAAUGGGGGCAACCCUGACGGAGCAAGACCGCGUGGGGGAAGAAGGUUUGUGGAUUGUAAACCCCUUUUGAUUGGGAAGAAGACAGUGACGGUACCAAUCGAAUCAGCAUCGGCUAACUCCGUGCCAGCCGCCGCCGUAACAC
rnacentral:rRNA from 1 species